rnacentral:lncRNA from 1 species
AUGUCUUAAAAAUGUACAUAAUUUUAUAUCAUUUUGUCAUUAAAUAUAUUUUCAGUAGAUAUUGAGAAGGCAAAAUUUGAUCUUUUUAGUAUUCAGUUUUAUGUGGGACAUAUCCUGAUUUUUAAAAAUUAGAAAGCUUAUAACUUUAAUAAGAUUGCUUUAUUUAUAAUCUGUAUUUAUACAGAUAUGAGAGUAUAUUACACAAAAACAUCAUUGAUUGCGAGGCUGGGGCUGGGGAUGUGGCUCAAGCGGUAACACGCUUGCCUGGCAUGCGCGGGGUGCUGGGUUUGAUCCUCAACACCUCAUAAAAAUAAAAUAAAGAUGUUGUGUCCACCGAAAACUAAAAAUUAAAAAAAUCAUUGAUUGCUAGAAGCAAAAGCUCUUUAUUGACCACAGGCAAAAGCUCUUUCAAGUGGAAAGGAUAAACAUGAUUUGCUACCUGGGUUCUCUGGCUUGUUGCUGUCACGUGGGAUUAUGUUGAGCACUGUGGUUAUGCAUGGACAUUGGGUUACAAGCACCCUGGCAGCAGAACUCCUGCUGUAUCUGUAUUUGUAAUCUUCCACAGAGCUUGCUAGUGUCCUGCACACAGAAGGCCUCCAUGCAACACUGGUUGAAUGCUGCAGGCUGCCUCUUUGCAGAAGCAAGCAACUGAGUACAGUGACAGUGACACUGGCUGCAUUCACAGCUGCUAGUGCUGCAGUGGUCUCUGACCCUCCUGAUCACCUGCCACCUACAAUCUUCCUUCCAUACCCCUUGAAUACUGAUACCUCUUGGAUACUGAUCUCUCCCACUGUGUCUUCCCAAUAAUGACUUAUGGUGAUUUUUAUGGUCUGCUAAUCCUCCGAAUGAGCUAAUUUUCCAGGAGGCACUGCCAUACUCAAUGGUACUGCAAAUAGGUUUUUAUUGACUGAUCUCCAAGCUCUCCAAGCCAUUCUGCCCUCAUACUGAUUACGAGGCUCCAUCUGUUUGUCUUGACAGCUUAAUGAAUUGAGGGCUCAUAAGUGUAGCUGACAUCUAAAUUAGAUCCAAAUCACAGUAAGGACAGGGUAAUGGUCUCCUUUGCCAGAGAUGAAUUAGCAAUUACUUUUAUAGCUCUAGGAGAAAAAUGAAUUAUGCAAACAGAUACUUCACCCAAAUUGGUGUCCCUGAGUGACUCUCCCUGUGCUAAUGGUUUUGCUAGGAACAGGAAACUGCUUGCCCUGUUUGAGGGAAAAUCAGAAAAAGAUGAUCUCUGCUUGACCCAAGUAAAUCAAUAGUCAAAUACUAACUAUGAGUUAUGAGUAUUAAAAUAACAGUCUAGUAAACUGAGCUAGUAACUUCGGUCUAUUGCUGAGUACAAUAUGGCUGACCAAAGAGAAAUUACAAAUCAAUGAGAAUGAAC